CGCCUGCCGACUUUAAACAAGGGGAAGAUGCAAAACCCUAGCUUCCAUCCCGCCUCUCUAUAAGUACAGAACUUCCAUCCAACGUUUCCCUGCCCACAGGAACACACAAGCAGAGAGGGAGAGAGUGCGGAUUUACAAUGGUUCAUACAUCGCAUUUUAUUUAUAUACUUAUAUAUCUGGGCAAUGAUGAGUAAUUGUGAUAGGUCUCGUUCGUCGUAAUGGCAUUCCAUGCCUUGCCGACCAUCCUGAUAUAUCACCACCCAUAAACCGAGCCCAUCAGUUGUUUAUUCCGUUUUCUCUUGAAAUUUCUUUUGGUUUUUAUCCUUUGAAUUUUUUACUGUUGAUUUGUUAGUGUUUUGGCCUAUGAUUACAGACAAAUUUUAUUGACAAGCAUAUGUCUGAAGUACCAUAUGUGGAUCAACCUAAUCUUCUCUAUGAGGCCACUUUUUGGUUUUGAUUACUAGAUGUUGAUAUAUUUGGUUUCUGUCAACUCGUUCCCUUGAAGCAAAAGUAAUCGUGCUGCUCUUUAUAUGUAACUCCAGCGGUCUCUUUGCGUUUGGAGAACACUGGGGCAGCUAUAUGACGUACUUUUUUGGUAAUUUGAACAACUUGAAUUACAGAAUAUAUUAAACAACAAUGAUGAGUUCUACAGACCUGUAAUGAUUGCAGAUAUGAUUGCAAUUGUUUAUGAACAUCUAAGGGACUGAGUUGUUUAUAUAUAGAUAAAUCUUGUGUUCUGGAGGAUUUAGGUUAUAUUUCAUUUUUCUUGUGUUUUAAAUGAUCUAUAACAACUUUACCUUUUCUGAUUUUGUUUUUCAUGUUGUUCUGUUGCUUGCUCUGGCAGAAUUUCAAGUGAAGCUAGGAUAUUUGCAACACUUACUGUUGUAAUUUAAAGUUCUUCUAGACACUGAACUACAUCUUCCUUGCACCAUUAAUGGAUUUGCCUGCGUGCCCAUGUUGGGCACGUGGACUAAGGUCGGUGCUGUUGGUCAUCCUUUGGUGUUGGAACGGUGGAUUGCUGUUCAACUGUGACUGAGAGGUGGUAAUAUGAGAUGGGAGGAGGAAGGAGAUGAGAAAAAGAAUAAAGAAAAUAAAGAAGCAAUAGGAGGAGUGAAUGGUCUUCUAAUACAUAAAGGUUCCAUUUGGUUCAUGUGAUGCGGCUGGAUAAGAUUGCUUAUAUCGCAUGAUAAGGUUUGAUAUGAUUGUUUAUCAUGCAUAGUUAUGUUUGGUUGUCAUUAUUAGAGCUUGAAUUAAUACUGGGUCCAAUCCUACAAUCUUGAUUUAUGGGAUAAAAAAUAUGUACCAAGGUCAUGGUGUCGUUGACAGCAUUUUUUCUUAGAAAACAAAAACUAAAAAAGUUGGGGAGCCGUUAGUAGCUUAAUUUUGCAGCUAUAUCCCGUUUUGAGGUAUAGUUGCAUUUCCUUAAUAACUAACAAAAUGUAUCUUUCUUAA